UCCAGGGUAGCUUAGUGGACAUGGCACCUGCCCGGUAAGCAGAAGGUUGUGGGUUCGAUUCCCGCCCCUGGAC
rnacentral:tRNA from 1 species